UUUUAUGGAGAGUUUGAUCCUGGCUCAGAGUGAACGCUGGCGGCGUGCCUAAUACAUGCAAGUCGAACGAUGAAGCUUUUAGCUUGCUAGAAGUGGAUUAGUGGCGCACGGGUGAGUAAGGUAUAGUUAAUCUGCCCUACACAAGAGGACAACAGUUGGAAACGACUGCUAAUACUCUAUACUCCUGCUU
rnacentral:rRNA from 1 species